GUGCAAUGCGAAGGAGCAACGCCUGGAGAAAUGGUGCAACAACCGUUCUAACAGUGCAUCCUAGGCUCGCUCCAGUGCAAUCUCCACCAAAGCAGAUCAGCGACGCUCGCCUUCAAUCUGCUUCCUCGCCAGGGCAACCUCCCACUUUCGAAACCGUAAAAAGCAUAGGGGAGUUAGUGGAAUAAGCUGUGAUACUCUAAACUUGGGCGAAUUAUGAAGUUCGAGGGUUGGAAUGGUAAUUGGAACUCUUCUACAACUUUUGAAGGGUUGUCGGGAGGUUACAGCAAAGGACUGGACUAAGCAAACAACUGGAAAUGGAAAAGUGCUUUGCAAAUGCACUAAUCGAAUGUAGUGCUUUGAAUUUGGCUAAUUAUGAAGUUUGAUGAGAGGGAAUGGUAAUGGGAACUAGCCUACAUCUUUUAAAGAGUAUUAAAAAGAUUUUUGACAAGUUAAAGGAGUGAUCGAACCGUUAAAAGAUCGAAAGUGCAUUGAAAAUUCGAAAUGGCAGAAAUUUGUAUAGUGUACCGGUACAGCCAUCAUUGUGUACUGGUACACAGCACCGCAGUAGCUGCGGGCUGAGGCUAUUUUGGUCUUUUCACUUUCUAAAUCCAUCCUUAUCAACUCUGGUCGACCCCUAGGCUUGUUCUUACCUUUCUGGAGCUGAGGAUAAGUUGGUUUGGAAACUUGGGGGAUGGCUUUUGAAGCUUGGAAAUUGAUGUUUGACUAUGUUCUUUCACCUUAACUCAGUAGGAACUGAGUUGAAAUUCUGUGAGCUUGUGAAAGCGGAAGCAAAAGUAUUUUGGGCCAUGAUUCUUCGAUCUUUACUCAGUUAAAACUGAGUCGGAGCUGAACAAGGUGGUAAAAGUACUUUGAAUGGAAUAUAGUGACCUUUAGAACUGGUUUUGCUGCGAGUUAUCAAUUCGAAACCAGGGGAAAAAGGCUCGAUUGAAGCUAUUGGGAGGAAAUCAGAUUCAGUUGAGCUGAAUUGGUGACUAGUAUGAGCUAAUUUGGAAUACUUUAACUUGCUUGGAAGUGAAGAUUUAGUUUUGGUCUAAACCUAGAUUUUCUGAUCUGGCUCAGCUGAGUUUGGAGAGCUUUCUAUCUAAGGUUGGAUUUGGAGUUCCAACCUGAGAUGAAGUCAGGAAUUAAGCCUUAACUCUAUAUUAGGGUACUUGGAGGCUUCGGAUACUUUCGCUCGCUAAAUCAACGAGAGUUGUCAACAUAUUGAGCCUUCCACAGCGGGAAAGGCUAGG